UACGUAGGGGGGCAAGCGUUGUCCGGAUUUAUUGGGCGUAAAGAGCGUGUAGGCGGCCAGACAGGUCAGCUGUGAAAACUCGAGGCUCAACCUCGAGACGUCGGUUGAAACCGUUUGGCUAGAGUCCGGAAGAGGAGAGUGGAAUUCCCGGUGUAGCGGUGAAAUGCGCAGAUAUCGGGAAGAACACCCGUGGCGAAGGCGGCUCUCUGGGACGGUACUGACGCUGAGACGCGAAAGCGUGGGGAGCAAACAGGG
rnacentral:rRNA from 1 species